AGGAAGUUAGUUUAAAUAAAACAUUUGAUUUCGGCUCAAAAGCUUCUGGUUAAAGUCCAUGACUUCCUU
rnacentral:tRNA from 1 species